UACAUGGGGUGCAAACGUUGCUCGGAAUCAUUGGGCGUAAAGCGCGCGUAGGCGGUUACUUAAGUUGGAUGUGAAAGCCCUCGGCUUAACUGAGGAAGUGCAUCCAAAACUGAGUAGCUAGAGUACGAAAGAGGGUCGCGGAAUUCCCGGUGUAGAGGUGAAAUUCGUAGAUAUCGGGAGGAACACCGGUGGCGAAGGCGGCACUCGUGGACCAUAGUGACGCAUGAGGAGGCGAAAGCUGAUGGGAGACCAACGG
rnacentral:rRNA from 1 species